GACGAACGCUGGCGGCGUGCUUAACACAUGCAAGUCGAACGGAAAGGCCCUGCUUUUGUGGGGUGCUCGAGUGGCGAACGGGUGAGUAACACGUGAGUAACCUGCCCUUGACUUUGGGAUAACUUCAGGAAACUGGGGCUAAUACCGGAUAGGAGCUCCUGCUGCAUGGUGGGGGUUGGAAAGUUUCGGCGGUUGGGGAUGGACUCGCGGCUUAUCAGCUUGUUGGUGGGGUAGUGGCUUACCAAGGCUUUGACGGGUAGCCGGCCUGGGAGGGUGACCGGCGACAUUGGGCCUGAGAUACGGCCCAGACUCCUACGGGAGGCAGCAGUGGGGAAUAUUGCACAAUGGGCGGAAGCCUGAUGCAGCAACGCCGCGUGCGGGAUGACGGCCUUCGGGUUGUAAACCGCUUUCGCCUGUGACGAAGCGUGAGUGACGGUAAUGGGUAAAGAAGCACCGGCUAACUACGUG
rnacentral:rRNA from 1 species